rnacentral:rRNA from 1 species
GAUGAACGCUGGCGGCGUGCCUAAUACAUGCAAGUAGAACGCUGAAGGAGGAGCUUGCUCUUCUGGAUGAGUUGCGAACGGGUGAGUAACGCGUAGGUAACCUGCCUGGUAGCGGGGGAUAACUAUUGGAAACGAUAGCUAAUACCGCAUGACAACAGUUAUUGCAUGAUAACUGUUUAAAAGGGGCAACUGCUCCACUACCAGAUGGACCUGCGUUGUAUUAGCUAGUUGGUGAGGUAACGGCUCACCAAGGCGACGAUACAUAGCCGACCUGAGAGGGUGAUCGGCCACACUGGGACUGAGACACGGCCCAGACUCCUACGGGAGGCAGCAGUAGGGAAUCUUCGGCAAUGGACGGAAGUCUGACCGGGCAACGCCGCGUGAGUGAAGAAGGUUUUCGGAUCGUAAAGCUCUGUUGCAAGAGAAGAACGAGUGUGAGAGUGGAAAGUUCACACUGUGACGGUAUCUUACCAGAAAGGGACGGCUAACUACGUG